GCAUAACGCGAAGAACCUUACCCACCUUUGACAUGGCAGGAACUUACCAGAGAUGGUUUGGUGCUCGAAAGAGAACCUGCACACAGGUGCUGCAUGGCUGUCGUCAGCUCGUGUCGUGAGAUGUUGGGUUAAGUCCCGCAACGAGCGCAACCCUUGCCAUUAGUUGCUACAUUCAGUUGAGCACUCUAAUGGGACUGCCGGUGACAAACCGGAGGAAGGUGGGAUGACGUCAAGUCCUCAUGGCCCUUAUAGGUGGGGCUACACACGUCAUACAAUGGCUGGUACAAAGGGUUGCCAACCCGCGAGGGGAGCUAAUCCACUAAAGCCAGUCGUAGUCCGGAUCGCAGUCUGCAACUACGACUGCGUGAAGUCGGAAUCGCUAGUAAUCGUGGAUCAGAAUGUCACGGUGAAUACGUUCCCGGGU
rnacentral:rRNA from 1 species